GGAAUAUUGGUCAAUGGAGGCAACUCUGAACCAGCUACGCCGCGUGCAGGAUGAAAGCCAUAGAGGUUGUAAACUGCUUUUGUAUGGGAAUAAAAAAUUCUACGUGUAGAAAUAAUUGAAGGUACCAUACGAAUAAGUGUCGGCUAACUCCGUGCCAGCAGCCGCGGUAAUACGGAGGACACAAGCGUUAUCCGGAUUCACUGGGUUUAAAGGGUGCGUAGGCGGUUUUUUAAGUCAUUAGUAAAAUAUUUCAGCUUAACUGAAAAAAAGCUAAUGAAACUGAUAAACUAGAAUGAUAUUGGAGCAAUUGGAAUGUAUGGUGUAGCGGUGAAAUGCAUAGAUAUCAUACAGAACACCGAAAGCGAAGGCAGAUUGUUAAAUAUAUAUUGACGCUGAGGCACGAAAGCGUGGGUAGCAAACAGGAUUAGAUACCCUGGUAGUCCACGCUGUAAACGUUGAUCACUGGUUAUUGUAAAAAAAGAUUCAGUAGCUAAGCGAAAGUAAUAAGUGAUCCACCUGGGUAGUACGAUCGCAAGAUUGAAACUCAAAGGAAUUGACGGGGGCCCGCACAAGCGGUGGAGCAUGUGGUUUAAUUCGAUGAUACGCGAGGAACCUUACCAAGGCUUAAAUGUC
rnacentral:rRNA from 1 species